rnacentral:lncRNA from 1 species
AUGCUGGUGGAUGUGUGUAAGGUUGAGGAGGGUUGUGUGGAGUUACCCGUGAUGCUGGUGGAUGUGUGUAAGGUUGAGGAGGGUUGUGUGGAGGUGAGAGAUGUGGUGGUCGUGUUUGGAGGUGAGGUGAUGGAGUCUUUACUUGAACCUGGUUGAGUGUCUAGUUGAUAAAAGUUAACAGUUAAAACUGUCUGACCAGACUACAGACAUACUGCAAAGCUCAAUUAAUGUAGAAAUGACACAUUUCAAGAGGAAAAUUAUUACCGUUAUCUGUUGAUUGUGAGGUUUGUGUAGGAGUGUGUGAGGGUGAGGGGCCUGAUUCUAAAGGAAAUGCAAGUUCAUGAUAUUGAGCAUCACUUUAUGUAAUUCACAAAUUUAUUAAAUAUUGUUCUAGCAUUAGCUUUAGCCAUGGUGAAUUGCACAAUUACACAUUUGCACUAAAUUGAAGCUGCACAAUCUUUGACAUCAACAUUAACAUUUACGGGAGGUGUAACUUGAUAAACUGUGUGAUACAAGUGAAAAACUUUUCAUUUUUUAAUACACACACACACACACACACACACACACACACACACACACACACACACACACACACACACACACACACACACACACUACAUUUCUACAAACUUGCAAUGUAUUUUUAAACGAGACUGUAAAAGAUUUAGUUCAGGACAGAAUAAAUGAUUGUUGGAAGACUAUUAAAUACUCUCCUACAAGCUUCAUCACCUGACUGUGUGGUGGAAGUGUUUUGUGGUGCGUAUAAUAGUUACAAAAAAAGUAAUAAUAAUAAUAAUAAUAAUAAUAAAAGGUUAUAACAUUUUGAUGAUAGACUUAUUCUGACAAAUGGUGUAAUAAAAUAUCACCAGGAAUGUCUAUUUGUAUUUGUAUAAGUACAAAGGGUCCAGUUUGAUUUCAUUUUUGUGUCUUUAAAUGUAGAAAUUGAAGAAAAAAAAUUGUGCAAUUCACAAAUACACUAAAUAUUUCAACAUUUUAUGAGUAUUACC